rnacentral:rRNA from 1 species
CCUACGGGAGGCUGCAGUGAGGAAUAUUGGUCAAUGGACGAGAGUCUGAACCAGCCAAGUAGCGUGAAGGAUGACUGCCCUAUGGGUUGUAAACUUCUUUUAUAUGGGAAUAAAACGUUCCACGUGUGGGAUUUUGUAUGUACCCUAUGAAUAAGGAUCGGCUAACUCCGUGCCAGCAGCCGCGGUAAUACGGAGGAUCCGAGCGUUAUCCGGAUUUAUUGGGUUUAAAGGGAGCGUAGGUGGUUUGUUAAGUCAGUUGUGAAAGUUUCCGGCUCAACCGUAAAAUUGCAGUUGAAACUGGCAGUCUUGAGUACAGUAGAGGUGGGCGGAAUUCGUGGUGUAGCGGUGAAAUGCUUAGAUAUCACGAAGAACUCCGAUUGCGAAGGCAGUUCACUGGACUGCAACUGACACUGAGGCUCGAAAGUGUGGGUAUCAAACAGGAUUAGAUACCCCAGUAGUC